AUACCUUUCUCAGCCUUUUGGCUAAGAUCAAGUGUAGUAUCUGUUCUUAUCAGUUUAAUAUCUGAUACGUGGUUCAUAGAACCACAUGAUAUUAAAUGUAUUUUUCAUAUAGAGCAGUGUUACCAACA
rnacentral:snRNA from 1 species